rnacentral:rRNA from 1 species
AUGUAUAAGAAAGCAAGGUUGGUCUACAAGUCGUAUGGAGACAUAGGGUGUACCCUUAACAGUGAGAGAGAAAAUAGUAACAUUAGAAACAAUACGGAGGAGCUAGGCCAUACCAUAGCCCUCUCCAUGAUGUAUGCAUACUCCCCUCAGCAUCCACGAAAAGUAGAACUCAGGUCCUUUUUCUCUCAAUAUAUGAAGCUGAAGUCUAAACAUUUAGGCGUUCUCGAUGUUGGCCUGGGGGUGUUGGGGGUUUGGCAUCGUCCUCGAAGUGAAGGCACAACGACCUUGAGUCGAUCGCAACCUCAAGUGCUUUGCCACAUACUCAUCUUGAUUAGUUGUUCCCCUACUUGUAAUGACAUCUUCUGUUCUCAACUAAUGGUUUUGAGUCGCUAA